rnacentral:sRNA from 1 species
GUUUGCACUCAUCGGGGAAGGGUGAGAACCUUCGACUAAGGUUCGAUUCGAGCGAAAGCGAGAGAACGUUGCCACAGGCAACGGCCCGAAGGGUGAGGAGCAAAGCGACGAAUAAUCCUUCCCCCACCACCA